GGUCCUUCAAACUUGUGCUUCUCCUUGUCCAGAGUCAGAAGAACUUCGUAACUUGUACUUCGCAGGACCCAGAAUGGGAAAUAUACAAGCCGAAGAGCAAUCCAUGAACCAACAAAAAGUAGAAAAGCAAAGGUUGCAAGCCCUUCACAACCGCUAUACUUAGACAUCUUUCCGAUUUCCAAAAAUAUAUCACUUGCAUCAUGAAUGGCCAAG
rnacentral:misc_RNA from 1 species